rnacentral:tRNA from 1 species
GUGGAUUUGGUGUAGCUGGUUAACACGUCGGAUUGUGGUUCCGAAGAUCAAGGGUUCGAAUCCCUUACUCCACCCCA